rnacentral:rRNA from 1 species
AGCUCCAAUAGCGUAUAUUAAAGUUGUUGCGGUAAAAAAGCUCGUAGUUGGAUUUCUGUUGAGGAUGGUCGGUCCGUACAAUGUAUGUGUAUCUGACUCAGCCUCGGCAUCCUCUCGCGAGACGUUUCUGCGCUUGAUUGCGUGGUGCGGAUUUCGGGACUUUUACUUUGAGGAAAUUAGAGUGUUCACGGCAGGCAAUCGCCAGAAUACAUUAGCAUGGAAUAAUACUAUAGGAUCUUGAUUCUAUUUUGUUGGUUUCUAGAAUUAAGAUAAUGAUUAAUAGGGACAAUUGGGGGCAUUCGUAUCAACACGUCAGAGGUGGAAUUCUUGGAUUGUGUUGCGACGAACUACUGCGAAAGCAUUUGCCAAGGAUGUUUUCA